rnacentral:rRNA from 1 species
AUUGAACGCUGGCGGCAGGCCUAACACAUGCAAGUCGAGCGGAUGAAGGGAGUUUGCUCCUGGAUUCAGCGGCGGACGGGUGAGUAAUGCCUAGGAACCUGCCUGGUAGUGGGGGAUAACGUCCGGAAACGGGCGCUAAUACCGCAUACGUCCUGAUGGAGCAAGGGGGGGAUCUUCGGAUCUCAGGCUAUCAGAUGAGACUAGGUCGGAAUAGCUGGUUGGGGGGGUAAAGGCCUACCAAGGGGACUAUCCGUAACUAGUCCGAGGGGGUGAUCAGUCACACAGAAGCUGAGAGGCGAUCCAGAGUCUUACGGGAGGCAGAGGUGGGGAAGGUUGGAAGAUGGGCGAAAGCCUGAUCCAGCCAUGCCGGGUGUGUGAAGAAGGUCUGCGGAUGGUAAAGCGGUUUAAGUUGGGAGAAAGGGCAGUGAGUUAAUACCUUGCUGUUUUGACGUAACCAACAGAGUAGGCACCGGCAACUUCGGU